UCAGAUUGACGCUGGCGGCAGGCCUAACACAUGCAAGUCGAGCGGAUGAAAGGAGCUUGCUCCUGGAUUCAGCGGCGGACGGGUGAGUAAUGCCUAGGAAUCUGCCUGGUAGUGGGGGACAACGUUUCGAAAGGAACGCUAAUACCGCAUACGUCCUACGGGAGAAAGCAGGGGACCUUCGGGCCUUGCGCUAUCAGAUGAGCCUAGGUCGGAUUAGCUAGUUGGUGAGGUAAUGGCUCACCAAGGCGACGAUCCGUAACUGGUCUGAGAGGAUGAUCAGUCACACUGGAACUGAGACACGGUCCAGACUCCUACGGGAGGCAGCAGUGGGGAAUAUUGGACAAUGGGCGAAAGCCUGAUCCAGCCAUGCCGCGUGUGUGAAGAAGGUCUUCGGAUUGUAAAGCACUUUAAGUUGGGAGGAAGGGCAGUACAUUAAUACUGUGCUGUUUUGACGUUACCGACAGAAUAAGCACCGGCUAACUCUGUGCCAGCAGCCGCGGUAAUACAGAGGGUGCAAGCGUUAAUCGGAAUUACUGGGCGUAAAGCGCGCGUAGGUGGUUUGUUAAGUUGGAUGUGAAAUCCCCGGGCUCAACCUGGGAACUGCAUUCAAAACUGACAAGCUAGAGUAUGGUAGAGGGUGGUGGAAUUUCCUGUGUAGCGGUGAAAUGCGUAGAUAUAGGAAGGAACACCAGUGGCGAAGGCGACCACCUGGACUGAUACUGACACUGAGGUGCGAAAGCGUGGGGAGCAAACGAGGAUUAGAUACCCUGGUAGUCCACGCCGUAAACGAUGUCAACUAAGCCGUUGGG
rnacentral:rRNA from 1 species